rnacentral:rRNA from 1 species
GUUGUUCGGAAUUACUGGGCGUAAAGCGCGCGUAGGCGGCUUUGUAAGUUAGAGGUGAAAGCCCGGGGCUCAACCCCGGAAUUGCCUUUAAGACUGCAUCGCUUGAAUCCGGGAGAGGUGAGUGGAAUUCCGAGUGUAGAGGUGAAAUUCGUAGAUAUUCGGAAGAACACCAGUGGCGAAGGCGGCUCACUGGACCGGCAUUGACGCUGAGGUGCGAAAGCGUGGGGAGCAAACAGG